rnacentral:rRNA from 1 species
CGACCCCCUCGGUGUCGUAGCUAACGCGUUAAGUGUUCCGCCUGGGGAGUACGCACGCAAGUGUGAAACUCAAAGGAAUUGACGGGGGCCCGCACAAGCGGUGGAGUAUGUGGUUUAAUUCGAUGCAACGCGAAGAACCUUACCAGGGUUUGACAUCCUGCGAAUCCCUUGGAAACGAGGGAGUGCCUUCGGGAGCGCAGAGACAGGUGGUGCAUGGCUGUCGUCAGCUCGUGUCGUGAGAUGUUGGGUUAAGUCCCGCAACGAGCGCAACCCACGUCUUUAGUUGCCAGCAUUUAGUUGGGCACUCUAGAGAGACCGCCGGUGAUAAACCGGAGGAAGGUGUGGAUGACGUCAAGUCAUCAUGCCCCUUACAUCCUGGGCUACACACGUACUACAAUGCUACGGACAAAGGGUUGCAAGCUCGCGAGAGUUAGCUAAUCCCAUAAACCGUGGCUCAGUUCAGAUCGUAGGCUGCAACUCGCCUACGUGAAGGAGGAAUCGCUAGUAAUCGCAGGUCAGCAUACUGCGGUGAAUACGUUCCCGGGCCUUGUACACACCGCCCGUCACACCAUGGAAGUUGGCCAUGCCCGAAGUCGUUACUCCAACC